rnacentral:rRNA from 1 species
UAUCUCUGUAGAGUCUGCAUAUCAAUAAGCGGAGGAAAAGAAACUAACAAGGAUUCCCUUAGUAACGGCGAGUGAAGCGGGAAGAGCUCAAAUUUGAAAUCUUCAAGGUUCUACCUUGACGAAUUGUAGUUUAAAGAAGUGUUUUCUGUUAGAUGAGUAGCAAAAGUUCCUUGGAAUGGGACAUCAUAGAGGGUGAGAAUCCCGUAUUUGGUUAUUCAUUCUAGCUUUGUGAUACACUUUCAAAGAGUCGGAUUGUUUGGGAAUGCAGUCCAAAAUGGGUGGUAAAUUUCAUCUAAAGCUAAAUAUUGGCGAGAGACCGAUAGCGAACAAGUACCGUGAGGGAAAGAUGAAAAGAACUUUGAAAAGAGAGUUAAACAGUACGUGAAAUUGUCAAAAGGGAAGCGUUUGACACCAGUGUUGUUUUUCCGAAAAUCAAUUACGAAUGGCUUGAUUUUGUGUUGUAUUGACCUUAUCAGCUUUCUUCACUUUUUUCGAGUCUUUCUUAAUGCACUUUUCGGUUAACAAGUCAACAUCAAUUUCUUUUGUUGUAAAAGAGUAUUCGGAAGGUGGCUUUCUUUUCGGAGAAAGUGUUUAUAGCCCUAUACUUCUACAAUCGGAGAGAUUGAGGUCUGCAGCGUAGAUCCUUCGGGGUUAGAUACACUUGUGCUAAGUUGUAGCUUUUCAUAGACAACUUGUUGACUAUGUUUAGUCAUGCGGCUUACUCGCUUGUGCUAUUUUACCUACGCUUAGGAUGUUGACUGAUAUGUAGUCGUA